UGGGGAAUAUUGGACAAUGGGCGAAAGCCUGAUCCAGCCAUGCCGCGUGUGUGAAGAAGGUCUUCGGAUUGUAAAGCACUUUAAGUUGGGAGGAAGGGCAUUAACCUAAUACGUUAGUGUUUUGACGUUACCGACAGAAUAAGCACCGGCUAACUCUGUGCCAGCAGCCGCGGUAAUACAGAGGGUGCAAGCGUUAAUCGGAAUUACUGGGCGUAAAGCGCGCGUAGGUGGUUUGUUAAGUUGGAUGUGAAAUCCCCGGGCUCAACCUGGGAACUGCAUUCAAAACUGACUGACUAGAGGAUGGUAGAGGGUGGUGGAAUUUCCUGUGUAGCGGUGAAAUGCGUAGAUAUAGGAAGGAACACCAGUGGAGAAGGCGACCACCUGGACUAAUACUGACACUGAGGUGCGAAAGCGUGGGGAGCAAACA
rnacentral:rRNA from 1 species